AACAGCGGGUUUGGGACUCUCUGAGGUCCUUUCUCGAGGUAAGCCGAUUCACUUUCCUCCUUCCCCUCGUUCCUUCAUUCAAAUAACUUCUCAGCUUUCAAUAUGACCUUCUGGCUGCCCUUGCAGAUCAGACACCAGCUCCUCACCAACAUUGAGGCGAUGAACAAGGUGGAUGCUAUCCAGAUGGAGGAAGGUUGCCGGGCCGAGGCCGCCCGCCUCAAGGAAAAGGGUAC
rnacentral:lncRNA from 1 species